rnacentral:rRNA from 1 species
GACGAACGCUGGCGGCGUGCCUAAUACAUGCAAGUAGAACGCUGAAGAGAGGAGCUUGCUCUUCUUGGAUGAGUUGCGAACGGGUGAGUAACGCGUAGGUAACCUGCCUGGUAGCGGGGGAUAACUAUUGGAAACGAUAGCUAAUACCGCAUAAAAUUGAUUAUUGCAUGAUAAUUAAUUGAAAGAUGCAACUGCAUCACUACCAGAUGGACCUGCGUUGUAUUAGCUAGUUGGUGAGGUAACGGCUCACCAAGGCGACGAUACAUGGCCGACCUGAGAGGGUGAUCGGCCACACUGGGACUGAGACACGGCCCAGACUCCUACGGGAGGCAGCAGUAGGGAAUCUUCGGCAAUGGGGGGAACCCUGACCGAGCAACGCCGCGUGAGUGAAGAAGGGUUUCGGAUCGUAAAGCUCUGUUGUAAGAGAAGAACGGGUGUGAGAGUGGAAAGUUCACACUGUGACGGUAUCUUACCAGAAAGGGACGGCUAACUACGUG